UGGGGAAUAUUGCACAAUGGGCGAAAGCCUGAUGCAGCAACGCCGCGUGCGGGAAGAAGGCCCUAGGGUUGUAAACCGCUUUCAGCAGGGAAGAAAAUGACGGUACCUGCAGAAGAAGGUGCGGCCAACUACGUGCCAGCAGCCGCGGUGACACGUAGGCACCAAGCGUUGUCCGGAUUUAUUGGGCGUAAAGAGCUCGUAGGCGGUUCAGUAAGUCGGGUGUGAAAACUCUGGGCUCAACCCAGAGACGCCACCCGAUACUGCUGUGACUUGAGUACGGUAGGGGAGUGGGGAAUUCCUGGUGUAGCGGUGAAAUGCGCAGAUAUCAGGAGGAACACCAGUGGCGAAGGCGCCACUCUGGGCCGUAACUGACGCUGAGGAGCGAAAGCGUGGGGAGCAAACAGGAUUAGAUACCCCAGUAGUCCCUGAGCGGGCUGGCAAGGCGCAU
rnacentral:rRNA from 1 species